rnacentral:sRNA from 1 species
GUGCAGUGGCACGAUCUUGGCUCACUGUGACCUCCGCCUCCCGGGUUCAAGCGAUUCUCCUGCCUCAGCCUCCCAAGUAGCUGGGACUACAGGUGCCCGUCACCACGCCCGGCUAAUUUUUGUAUUUUUAGUAGAGAUGAGGUUUCACCAUAUUGGCCAGGCUGGUCUCGAACUCCUGACCUUGUGAUCCUCCUGCCUCCGCCUUCCAAAGUGCUGAGAUUACAGGCGUGAGCCACCACACCUGGCCGGAGGGUAGGACUUCUGAGAUUUUCAGACUCUAUCAUGCCUAGCUUUGUGUGUAGAUUGGCAGGUUCCUGGUAGAUCUUUGUGGAUGAUGAUGAUGACAUGGGAACCUGGAGGGGGCUGGUCAAAGCGGUGCAGCUGGGAGGACUAUGGACCUACUGACCCUCUUUUCCCCAAGCGUGCUCCCAUGCAUAUGCCCACACUCUCCCACACACUCCUGCUCCUGUCCUCCUGGCCUGUGACUCUUGGUGCUUCUUCUUGCAGCCAGUGUGGCUGUCUGUGGACUUUGAUAACUGGAGAGACUGGGAAGGGGAUGAAGAGAUGGAGCUGGCUCACGUGGAACAUUAUGCAGAGCUUUUGAAGAAGGUCAGCACCAAGAGACCUCCACCUGCCAUGGAUGAUUUGGAUGAUGAUUCUGACAGUGCUGAUGCAACAAGUAAUUAACUUUCUGUGACAGCAAAGCUGGGAAGGCAGCGGUGGCUAUUUUCCAGUUGUUGUAGAAAGCUAGCGCCUAGGCCUUUGUCAGCGCUUUGGCUGUGCACCAAGUUCCUC